UACGUAGGGGGCAAGCGUUGUCCGGAUUUAUUGGGCGUAAAGAGCGUGUAGGCGGCUUGGUAGGUCUCGCGUCAAAACCUGAGGCUCAACCUCAGUUCGCGUGGGAAACCACCUAGCUAGAGUCCGGAAGAGGAGAACGGAAUUCCCAGUGUAGCGGUGAAAUGCGCAGAUAUUGGGAAGAACACCAGUGGCGAAGGCGGUUCUCUGGGACGGUACUGACGCUGAGGAGCGAAAGCUAGGGGAGCGAACAGG
rnacentral:rRNA from 1 species